AUUGAACGCUGGCGGCAUGCCUUACACAUGCAAGUCGAACGGCAGCACGGGAGCAAUCCUGGUGGCGAGUGGCGAACGGGUGAGUAAUAUAUCGGAACGUGCCCAGUCGUGGGGGAUAACGUAGCGAAAGCUACGCUAAUACCGCAUACGAUCUACGGAUGAAAGCGGGGGAUCGCAAGACCUCGCGCGAUUGGAGCGGCCGAUAUCAGAUUAGCUAGUUGGUGGGGUAAAAGCUCACCAAGGCGACGAUCUGUAGCUGGUCUGAGAGGACGACCAGCCACACUGGAACUGAGACACGGUCCAGACUCCUACGGGAGGCAGCAGUGGGGAAUUUUGGACAAUGGGCGCAAGCCUGAUCCAGCAAUGCCGCGUGCAGGAUGAAGGCCUUCGGUUGUAACUGCUUUGUACGGAACGAACGGUGAGCUCUAAUAAAGCUUGCUAAUGACGGUACCGUAAGAAUAAGACACCGGCUAACUACGUGCC
rnacentral:rRNA from 1 species